rnacentral:rRNA from 1 species
CUUAGAGGUUAAGCCCGAUGAACCUGAAUAUCCAUUAUGAAAAAUUCAUCAUUAUGCCUAUGAUAUUUAUUAUUAAUAUUUAUAGUAAUAGUGUGCAUUUUUUUCAUAUAAGGACAUUGUAAUCUAUUAACAUAAAAAAAUAUUUAUCAAAAGAUCAUUUGCUUUAGUUUAUUCGAAUUAGUUUGCUUUUAGCUUAUUAACAUAGAAUAAAUGCUUAUGAUUUGAUAAAGUGUUGAUAGAUUUAUUAUAUAUAAUGCUAAAAUUUUGCAAAAAAUUUUACAAUAACAUUAUUAUCAUUGAUU